rnacentral:rRNA from 1 species
AUACGAGGGGAGCAAGCGUUGUCCGGAUUUAUUGGGCGUAAAGGGCGUGUAGGUGGAUUGAUAAGUCAGGUUUUAAAUAGUACGGCUCAACCGUAUCAAUGGGUCUGAUACUGUCAGUCUUGAGUUCGAGGGAGGAAAGCGGAAUUCCUGGUGUAGCGGUGAAAUGCCAUGAUAUCAGGAGGAACACCGGCGGCGAAGGCGGCUUUCUGGCUCGCAACUGACACUGAGGCGCGAAAGCGUGGGUAGCAAACAGAAUUAGAAACCCCAGUAGUCC